CUCGUUCCAUCCCACAUCUCCAGCACUUGGCCGAGGUGUGGGGGUAGAUCCUGUGGAGUUUGUCAGGUGUGUAGUACCACCUGUAGAGUAGUUUUUUAUGUGCUUCGACAUGUGAAUAACAAGCGGUGAUACCCUUUAGGGCUUGGAGCGACGCUGUCCAUUGCUUGUCUGUGAAUGACAGUGCGCAUUCUUGUUCCCAGUGCAAUCUGUAGUUGAACUCUGGAGGCGGAAUUUGAUUUCUCAAAG